rnacentral:rRNA from 1 species
AGAGUUUGAUCCUGGCUCAGAUUGAACGCUGGCGGAAUGCUUUACACAUGCAAGUCGAACGGCAGCACGGGAGCUUGCUCCUGGUGGCGAGUGGCGAACGGGUGAGUAAUAUAUCGGAACGUAUCCAAUAAUGGGGGAUAACUAGUCGAAAGAUUAGCUAAUACCGCAUACGCCCUGAGGGGGAAAGCUGGGGAUCUUCGGACCUAGCGUUAAUGGAGCGGCCGAUAUCUGAUUAGCUAGUAGGUGAGGUAAAAGCUCACCUAGGCGACGAUCAGUAGCUGGUCUGAGAGGACGACCAGCCACACUGGAACUGAGACACGGUCCAGACUCCUACGGGAGGCAGCAGUGGGGAAUUUUGGACAAUGGGCGCAAGCCUGAUCCAGCCAUUCCGCGUGAGUGAAGAAGGCCUUCGGGUUGUAAAGCUCUUUCGCAAGGGAAGAAAACUUAACCCCUAACAUAGGUUGAGGCUGACGGUACCUUGAUAAGAAGCACCGGCUAACUACGUGCCAGCAGCCGCGGUAAUAC